UUGCUCUAUGUUGAAAAUAUUUAGUUUUGUAUUUCUUUAAGAUUAAUUGAACCACACGGAAAGUAAAUACGAAGGCAUUCUUUCGGCAAGUAAAUACAAUAAUAAAUGACAAACAUUUUUUACGAGAGCACAUAAAAAUGGGGAUAGAAAAAAACGAAGUUGUUGCAGAAUCAAGUGAAGAUGAUAGUGGAGUUGUGCACACAGGAAACGGAAGAAUUUCAAAUUCCCUAUUUGUAAGACCGAACGCUUCUCCUGGUUACUGGCUGUGUUUGCUACUUCCACUUGCCUUUGCAUCAAACUUAAUACACGAAAACAAAUGUAAUGGACAAGUUUCCACGCAACCCAUACUCACAAUUGCCGCAAUCGGUAUGAGCAUAGAUACCCUCUGUUUGUUUCUGUAUAUAUUCUGCAAGACGGGUUUGCUGCUGAAACUAUUUAUUUCAUUUGUACCUGGCUUUAUUACCGCAAUACUAUACAAGGUUUUAUUGCAACAGUCAUGGAGCUAUGGACUAUUUUGGGGCUUUAUCAUAACCUUCAUUUAUCAGAAUUCUUAUAUUCGUGUGCUACGUGGAUUACCCGGUUGCUUUAGUUUUGGCGAGGCAUCUAUACUCGUUCAGGGGUUGAUGCUUUUCCUAUUAAAUGUAAUUUUAAAGUUUUUUACUUUAUUGCUGAAAACUGAAAACAGGAGUACAUUUGAAGAUCUAAAUAUUAUAAUGAUGUGUGCACUAACCUAUCUUUUUGCGAUGUGUGGAUUACUAUCGGCUGUCAAAGUUCUACGUGAGCCUACCUACUUUUAUGCUUUAAUGUUUAUUUUAGUUAUAGGCGUAACAACCACUCCUAUUACGGAUCCAGUGCCAAUAACUUUCUUAUUUAUUUUUAUAGUACAAGACCAAGUCAGGGUAUACAUAGUUGUUUUCUACGUAAUAAUGGUGGUGUUGACAAUUUUGACUGUGUGGUGGCAAAUUGCCAAUGAGGAAAAAGCUUCCACAAGAAUACGAAAAAUAUUUCAUGCACUUAUUGUGCUUGUGUUCAUACCUGGAAUAAUUUAUCAAUGUAGUUUUCUAUAUAUUGCUACAGGAGUAGCUUUUGCAAUUUUUACUGUUUUUGAACUAAUUCGUGUUUGCAACAUACCGCCUUUGGCUAUACCUUUGCGCAGAGCAUUUGCAUCAUUCUCCGACGAAAAAGAUGCUGGUUUGCUCGCAUUAACACCAUUCUGUCUGCUUAUUGGCUGUUCCAUGCCUCUUUGGAUAAGCUCUUGUCCUUGUGGGGAAAAUGAGUUACUUUCAAUUUUAGCUGGAGUUCUGACAAUCGGAUUCGGCGAUACUGCUGCCAGUGUGGUUGGUUCGAAAUUUGGUCGCAUUAAGUGGCGUAGUUCGAAAAAAUCUUUAGAAGGCACUUUAGCAUUUAUUGUGAUAACUUUUUUGGCAACAAUGUUUUUAAACUACUUUGGUUAUACUAAAUUGUCGCCUAUGAAGUGGUUUAGCACAUUAACAGCAAUAUUAACAACUUCCUUGGUUGAGGCGCAUACAGAUCAAAUCGAUAAUUUAACCCUUCCCAUAAUAUUUUAUAUAAUUGUGAAUAUAUUUUAAGAUUAAUUACCGUCUUGACUGAAAAGUACUUAGAAUUUAUUUUAGUUAGGUAUACAACUUUUAAAUAUUUAGAUAUGAAAGUUUUAGUCCAAUAAACUGAAAAGUCAGAAUUUGGUAAAGAAAAUUAUUUUUACAUAUGUACUAAUACAGUACUAUGUACAUAUAUUUAAAUUGAUGAUCCCACCAUAAUAAUUAUUCUAUAUUCCAUAUAUGGGUAAUGUAGUAGAUGUCAUGAAUUCAGAACAUACCAAUGUUUCAAACAGAAGCUGUAUCGAGUUUGCGAGUAUACGAGUAACUAAAACUAGUUUUGUCGGUUUUGUUAUCAGAACAAAGCAAGAAUAUAGUCGUUAACAGAAUUGAAAUCUUUUAAGAUGUGGGUAGGAUGGAUAUGACUAUGCUUUCAAUUAAAAUGAUUUGAAGGCAAUGGUGAUUAGGAUAAAGUGGUACCGCAUCCGAACUGCUCGUAGGAAAGAAUGGUCGCAUCUAAAAAUAAAAUUGUAUUCUAUAUUUGACACCCGACAUAUCUUUCGAUUUGAUUCUAAAGAAAAUGUUUGACAAUUUGCAAGCUAAGCUUCCAAUUUCUAAAAACGUUCAGUACUUCUACUGGAAAAUGAUUUUUUUAAUCAAUUUUAUAUGCAAUACGCCACCUCAUAAAAUCUUCCAAUAUAAAAAUUGUGUAUUCUUCGCUGACAAAGUUGAGAAGAUGGAUUACCGAAAACGUUGUUGCAGUGAGA
rnacentral:misc_RNA from 1 species